rnacentral:rRNA from 1 species
CUGGCGGCAGGCCUAAUACAUGCAAGUCGAGCGCGCCCUUCGGGGUGAGCGGCGGACGGGUGAGUAACGCGUGGGAAUAUGCCCUUCUCUAAGGAAUAGCUUCUGGAAACGGAGAGUAAUACCUUAUACGCCCUUUGGGGGAAAGAUUUAUCGGAGAAGGAUUAGCCCGCGUUAGAUUAGGUAGUUGGUGGGGUAAUGGCCUACCAAGCCUACGAUCUAUAGCUGGUUUGAGAGGAUGAUCAGCCACACUGGGACUGAGACACGGCCCAGACUCCUACGGGAGGCAGCAGUAGGGAAUCUUAGACAAUGGGGGGAACCCUGAUCUAGCCAUGCCGCGUGUGUGAUGAAGGCCCUAGGGUCGUAAAGCACUUUCGCCAGAGAUGAUAAUGACAGUAUCUGGUAAAGAAACCCCGGCUAACUCCGUGCCAGCAGCCGCGGUAAUACGGAGGGGGUUAGCGUUGUUCGGAAUUACUGGGCGUAAAGCGCACGUAGGCGGAUUAGUAAGUUAGAGGUGAAAUCCCAGGGCUCAACCCUGGAACUGCCUUUAAUACUGCUAGUCUUGAGUUCGAGAGAGGUAAGUGGAAUUCCGAGUGUAGAGGUAAAAUU